rnacentral:misc_RNA from 1 species
GACAUAUUACUGUUUUCAGAUAAAUAAUAGUUUAAUAAACAAAGAAUGGAGAAAAAUAAACCGGCUGCGAACGCCGCCGUUGUCGGCCGCCAGAAACUUUUCAAAAAUGAAGGAAAGGAUCAAGAGGAGAUGAAGAAGAAGAGGAACGAUGUAACUGUAGAGAUCAGGAAGAACAAGAGAGAUGAAACACUACAGAAGAAGAGGAAUGUACCGAAUACCGAGGAUACUACAGAUGAUGAGGAGGGAAGGGAGAACCUAUCCAACUCCAGCUUGGAAACUAUUGUAGAGAAGGCCCAGUCCCCUGAUCCUGCUACUCAGCUUCAUGCUGUACAGGCUGCUAGAAAGUUGUUGUCAAGUGACCGAAAUCCUCCAAUUGAUGCCCUCAUCGCCUCUGGCAUCCUACCAGUUCUAGUCAACUGCCUCAAGUCAACCGACAACCCUAGCCUCCAGUUCGAGGCUGCCUGGGCGCUGACAAAUAUCGCAAGCGGAACGAGUCAGCAGACGCAUGCUGUGGUGGCAGCUGAGGCAGUGCCACUCUUUCUUCAGCUGCUCACCUCACAACAUCAGAAUGUUUGUGAACAGGCUGUUUGGGCCCUGGGAAACAUCAUUGGUGACGGUCCUCAGCUCCGUGAUUAUGUAAUCCAGCUUGGAGUUGUUCAACCUCUUCUAACCUUCAUCAACCCUGAGAUCCCGAUCUCCUUCUUGAGGAACGUGACCUGGGUGGUGGUAAACUUGUGCAGGAACAAGGAUCCUCCCCCUCCUAUCGAUACUAUCAAGGAGAUUCUUCCUGCUUUAUCCAUGCUGAUCCAUCACUCCGACAUCAACAUUCUCGUAGACACGGUCUGGGCGCUCUCCUACCUCACGGACGGUGGGAAUGAGCAGAUCCAGAUGGUGAUAGAUAGUGGAGUAGUCUCUAAACUAGUGCCUCUUCUCAGUCAUAGGGAGGUUAAAGUUCAGACGGCAGCUCUACGUGCUGUUGGAAACAUUGUGACCGGGACGGAUGAUCAGACCCAAACUGUUCUUAAUCACGGAGCUCUAGAUCAUUUCCCUGGUCUUCUUAAUCAUACAAAAGAGAAGAUUAAUAAGGAGGCCGUUUGGUUUCUGUCAAACAUAACAGCUGGAAACCAGGGACAGGUUCAAGCAGUUAUAGAUCAAGGACUAGUUCCUAUGGUUAUAUCACAUCUUGCCAGGGGAGAAUUCCAAACCCAGAAGGAGGCCGCCUGGGCAAUCUCAAACCUAACAAUCUCCGGGAAUAAAACCCAGGUUGCAUACCUGGUCCAACAGGGGGUUAUUCCUCCAUUCUGCAAUUUGUUGAGCUGCAAAGACACCCAGGUUAUCCAAGUUGUCCUGGACGGUCUGAACAACAUGCUCAAGAUGGCCGGCACAGAGGUCGAGGCGGUCGCGGCCAUCAUUGAGGAGUACGGAGGUCUGGACAAGAUAGAGGCUCUGCAGAACCACGAAAACGUCGAAAUUUACAAACUCGCGUACGAGAUAAUCGAGCAAUAUUUCAAUGACGAGGAGGAGGAAGAUGCAGGAUUAGCUCCGGCUGCAACGGAGGAAGGAUUCCAGUUUAACUCCGGUCCUGAAGGAGAUCAACCCGCAGGAGGAUUCAACUUCUGAACUGAGGAUGCACCUCGUACGACUGCAACUUCGAAACCUAAACUAUCUUCUGUAGAUGGAUACUGUUGUCUGUGAGAGCUAUGCUUUUCCUGCAACCGCUCCGCCUCUCAGCAGCUGGUUCGCCUAUUUAUCUGCCACGCCCUGGCAAUGCACCCCUUCUCCGCCCUCGACACUCAAUACUGGAGGCAGAAUUUAAGCGCAAGCGUCUCUCAAUUACUGUGUCAGCCUGUGUGUUUGUAGUUUCCCCUCCACCCAAGACGAAGAACUAGAAAAUCCUCCAAAUUUACUCCACUCCGCCAUGUUUAAAACCAGAUAUACCUCCGCCCAACCUACUCUCUCCUCCUUCCCGGGAACUACUGUAUGUGUGCCAACUGUGUAAAGAUGAGGAAGGAACAGUACUCCCCCUUCCCUAGUCAAUCUUAUUCUGAGCUCAACAUGUGAACUGUGUUAUAUAUUAUGUGAGCUAGUACCGAGCAACUGAAUGAAACUGUGAGCUAUCUCGGCACUACUAUGUGUGAAAUUCAUACUUGAAGAAUUCUGCUAAACUCAAUCUAUGAUAUCUCCCUCUGGGACCCUUUGUUCCCUGUAUAUACUAGAUUGUACAACUGCAACGCAUGGUUUUGAGGAUCCCAACCCUCGAAACCAUUUAAACACACACCUCAGUACAUGGAUGGUUUAAUACAGCAGCUCCUGCUUGUAGUUAGACAAUAUGUACUUCUAGAUCUUUCUAUUCUCCUUACAUCUCAUAAAUGUUAAAAUUAACUGCUUUCACAAAGAUCAAUUUUGAUCUUUUCAUUGGUUUGAAGAGAUAAAAGUGUGAAAGAAAAUAACACUUUUGAUAAAUAAACUCCCUUUUCACGAUGGCAUCCAUCGAUCAAUGUUCUUCAAGCGAUAACAUUUCUACAACACUCCCCUGAAUUGCAAGCCCCUGCGCGAUCUUUUGUAAUGUAAUUUAUCGAUUAUGUAAUGAUCAGUUAUCGGGAGAUAAUUUCAAAUGUAUCUAAGAAAUGAUCAGCUGCGCGAUCAUUGCUUGAUCAAUGAUCAUGCUGAAACGAUAUUAAACGUAAACUUUGUUCAGGAAUCCCUCGCGUACUGCAACCUUUUCCUUCAAAUCUUCAUUAAAUCAUUCCAGUACAUAUUUCUAUUCUUUCUUCUGUACUAGACAGUUGUUGACAGUGUACUUGACCUGUACAGUGUACAUAAUUUGACAAUGUACAAUGUGCUUGACGUACUCUUUGUACGUUCAGUUAUGUAAAGUGUACAGGUCACAGGACUAAUAUUGUACUGUAUAUACUGAUGUAGUACCGUACAGUUUUAUAUAACGAAUACUCUAAAUUGCACAUUCAAAGUGUACUAUGUACACUGCAAAUAAAGUUGACAGUGUACAUUAGGUUUACAGUGUUAUAAAAAUUUUCGAUGUAAACACUUUGUACUCAAUGUGUAUGUAUAAUGUAUAUUCUGUCAAUUGUACUGUACACAGAGGAUCUAAGGAUUAGAACUAUGUGAAUGAUCGUUUCCUCCCUAAGUGCGUUGCACGCUAUAUUGAGCUGUGAUAGUAGUACGCUAGGGAGUCCUUACACGCGGGUGUGUCACUACAGUACAUAGCUAUCUAAAUCAUGUAUAACAUGUGCAUUAAUCAUGUACGUACAGUGCUUAAGUAUGUUUGGACACCCUUAAUUCAGGUUGUCUUAAUAGUACUCAAAAACUUCUUAAACAAACCAAUUUUGGCAUUAAAUUAUAUAUUGUUAAGGCAUCCUGUUGUAGGUAAUUUUUUGUUAAAAAUAAAAUACAAAAUCUC